GAUCCUGUGAAGAAGCCUCAAGUAAAUGCAACAUGUCAGGAUGAAAAUGUGAAGUUUCACUGCUUUCUUGGUGCACAACCUGUGGAUGUGAAGUAUGAGUGGCUCCAAAACGGAGGCAAGAUGAAGGAAAGUCAUUUGACUUUUGAAAUGAAAGCAGCAGAAACUAAAGACGACAAAUUUGUUUGCAAAGUUUUCAACGAAGCCAGUUCUGAAACCAGUGAGCCUGUUUCUCAUAGCUGUGCUAAAAUAAAUCUUCCUAGUGUUUGGAACAUUGUUGGUGGUGGAGGAGAUUGUGACCAGUUUGCUGCAGGGGGUGGAAACUUCAUUAUUCCUCUGGGAUACCAACUAAAACCUACUGAUACUCUGAAGUGGAAGUUAAAUGGCAGCAUAAUAUUUGAUAAAAAACAAGAAAGGAUAGCAACUGGGAGAGAAAGUGACAUUAAUUCAGACGGAUCCCUUCAACUAAUAAACCUGUUGGAGAACCAAGCAGGACAUUAUACCGCUGAUGUUUUUGACGAAAAUGGAAA